AAAAAGUAAACCUUAAGAUAUAGCGAAAAUGAUUAUGAAUAUAUUUUAAUUAAUGAGAGAUCUUGCAUUGUUUUGAUUUAUUCAGACCAUUAAAAUGAAACAAAAAAAGUUCUUACAGUUCCAAUUGAUAUUUACAUUUUAAUGUGUUAUAAAAUAUGCAAAUCCACUUUUGAUUAUAGUUUCAAUAUUGUCUAAUUUAAAGAUUAAUAAAUGUUGUCAUAUGUACAAGAUAAUAUGGUGUUAUUCUCAGUUUUCAUUUGAAACGAUGUAUAUACUAAAAUUAAUCAUUUAAUUAAUCCUAAACAUCUUAUGAUACAAUAUAUAACACACUAUUCUUAUAUAUGUGUCACCUACUAACAUUAACAGCUUUUUUGUUUCAUUAAAAAUUAGCAUGUUUGUAAGAAUAUUACGUUAACACUCUUGUCGUUAUCAAUUUUAAAUAGAAAAUGUUUUCAUAUAUAAUAACAUACAUUUUUUCGAAAAGAGCAAUGAUUGUGUAAAUAUUAUUUACUUAAUAUGAAAAUAUAGAAUAUUAGAAGCAGUUAUGAGUUGAUAUUUGUUUUAUUGCCAAUAUGUAAUCGUUUGGAUUUUGGUUAUAGAUUCGUUUAUUUGUUAUUUGAUUUCUUUGUUAGAUUUAUGAUAUCUGACAGAUUGUUCUGGUUGAAUAAUUAUCGUUGUUGUUUAUAACUAAACAGUUAAACGGUCAUGACAGAAUAUAUUGAAGUGUUUUCAAAACAUUUCCUGUUUUCUAUUUUGUUUCAAUCAACUUUAUAUAUAAUGUCAAAGAUAAAUGUUUCGUCAAUGAAAAACAUUCAAGGGUUUUCAAAACAUUUGUAUUUUUGUUGUUUUUAAUGAUUAUAUAUUCAUAACAUGUAUCCUUUACUGAAAUAAUUCGCCACUUAGAUUAAUUUUGUUUUAGGAUAAUCAACGUAACACUUAUAAUGGCAAAUUUUCUGAAUUAAUCUCAUUUCUUUAUUCUCUUUGCAAUCACGUAUCUAUGAUUUGAGAAAAGGCCCAAAAAUGGUGUGUUCAACUGCAGAUUACAGCAUGGAACAUGAUGAUUAUAAACCAAAUUUAAAGAUCUGAAGAACCUGUUCGAGUACUUCCAUUGUUCCCAGAAUUAAUUCCAACUUAUGUAGAAUCAACAGCAAUUAGAAUCGCCUACAUCGAAACAAAAUUUUAUCAUGCCGUUGUUCUAGUUGGUCCAAACUGUUAGUGCAAUUCAACUGAUAUUGGCGCAGUAAAAUGUCAUGUUAUUCCUCAUUCAUUUAAACAGUAUAUUUCGAUGAUGCACGUAUUGCAUUUGGCAAUUCACCACAUAUACACUGAUCUCUGAAAGUCAUUCAUAUAUUUGCUGCUGAAGUUUAUCUGAUAUAUGUGAUAAUUAAUGUGCUCAACAAGCAGUCAAAAAAAAAACCAUCCUCAUUGAACCUGGUAUGCUUUUAUAGUUAUUGAAUCUUGCUGUUAUAUGUUUUUUUUUCUUACAUGAGUAAGUUUAAGUAUGUACAAAGAUUUAUUCUUUUGGGAAAUCCCUUAAUUUUAUUCUUUUGUGUAUAUUCCGACUGUAAAUCAUUCAUUUAACAAUAAGCAGCCUCCAGAUAAAAAACUAUUUUUGAAAAUAACUCAAUCAAAUUCUUACAAUAGUAUUAUUUAAAAAAAAGAUACGGAACUCCGAGGAAAAAUUCAAAACAGAAAGUUCGCAAAAAAAUGACAAAAUCAAAAGGUCAAUCACAUCAACCAAAUGGAUUACUGUCAUUUAUUUUGACUUGGUUCAGGCAUUCUUAUGUAGUAAAUGUUGAACUAAAAUUGGUUUUAUAGCUAUAUAAAUCCCUCACAUGUUCAGAUUGUUGAAUUGUCUUUUGCUGAAGUUUAGCAUCUGUGAUGGUUUAAUUUGUAUAUUUGUUUUUGUUUUAUAUUUCAUCGAAAAAAAUCGAAAAUAUUGCUAAU